rnacentral:rRNA from 1 species
AAUGAACGCUGGCGGCAUGCCUAACACAUGCAAGUCGAACGAAGGCUUCGGCCUUAGUGGCGCACGGGUGCGUAACGCGUGGGAAUCUGCCCUUGGGUUCGGAAUAACUCGCCGAAAGGCGUGCUAAUACCGAAUGAUGACGUAAGUCCAAAGAUUUAUCGCCCAGGGAUGAGCCCGCGUAGGAUUAGCUUGUUGGUGAGGUAAAAGCUCACCAAGGCGACGAUCCUUAGCUGGUCUGAGAGGAUGAUCAGCCACACUGGGACUGAGACACGGCCCAGACUCCUACGGGAGGCAGCAGUGGGGAAUAUUGGACAAUGGGCGAAAGCCUGAUCCAGCAAUGCCGCGUGAGUGAUGAAGGCCUUAGGGUUGUAAAGCUCUUUUAUAUGGGACGAAACCCUGGUAUUCUUACCAGAUUGACGGUACCAUAAGAAUAAGCACCGGCUAACUCCGUGCCAG